rnacentral:rRNA from 1 species
CCUACGGGUGGCAGCAGUAGGGAAUCUUUCACAAUGGGCGAAAGCCUGAUGGAGCAACGCCGCGUGCAGGAUGAAGGCCUUCGGGUUGUAAACUUCUUUUGACAGGGAAGAGUAGAAGACGGUACCUGUCGAAUAAGCCACGGCUAAUUACGUGCCAGCAGCCGCGGUAAUACGUAGGUGGCAAGCGUUGUCCGGAUUUACUGGGUGUAAAGGGCGUGUAGCCGGGUUGACAAGUCAGAUGUGAAAUCCUGCGGCUUAACCGCAGAACUGCAUUUGAAACUGUUGAUCUUGAGUACUGGAGAGGCAGACGGAAUUCCUAGUGUAGCGGUGAAAUGCGUAGAUAUUAGGAGGAACACCAGUGGCGAAGGCGGUCUGCUGGACAGCAACUGACGGUGAGGCGCGAAAGCGUGGGGAGCAAACAGGAUUAGAUACCCUUGUAGUC